rnacentral:lncRNA from 1 species
UUUAUUUAUUUAAUAAUUUUUUUUUUCGUUUUUUUUUUAAAAUAAAGUUUCUUGGAUCUGAUUCUGAUUGGAAUGAUGAAAUGCAAUAUGAAAUGUUAAAUGACCUAAAAAUGAAUGCAUGAAUGAGGAGGGCAAAUUUUGGGGUGUUACAGCAAUAAAUAAGGCUUGGAACGGAGUUCCAACCUCAUCCUCAACUUCAACAUAAGAGAAAGAUGACAAUUGGCUAACCAACAACGCCUUCUCCCCGCCAAUAAUUACAAGCUUGCCAUUCUUGACAAAUUUGAG